rnacentral:rRNA from 1 species
CGGUUAAGUUAGAAAGGGCGCACGGUGGAUGCCUUGGCACUAGGAGCCGAUGAAGGACGGGACGAACACCGAUAUGCUUCGGGGAGCUGUAAGCAAGCUUUGAUCCGGAGAUUUCCGAAUGGGGAAACCCACCACUCGUAAUGGAGUGGUAUCCAUAUCUGAAUACAUAGGAUAUGAGAAGGCAGACCCGGGGAACUGAAACAUCUAAGUACCCGGAGGAAGAGAAAGCAAAUGCGAUUCCCUGAGUAGCGGCGAGCGAAACGGGAACAGCCCAAACCAAGAGGCUUGCCUCUUGGGGUUGUAGGACACUCUGUACGGAGUUACAAAGGAACGAGGUAGAUGAAGAGGUCUGGAAAGGCCCGCCAUAGAAGGUAACAGCCCUGUAGUCAAAACUUCGUUCUCUCCUGAGUGGAUCCUGAGUACGGCGGAACACGUGAAAUUCCGUCGGAAUCCGGGAGGACCAUCUCCCAAGGCUAAAUACUCCCUAGUGACCGAUAGUGAACCAGUACCGUGAGGGAAAGGUGAAAAGCACCCCGGAAGGGGAGUGAAAGAGAUCCUGAAACCGUGUGCCUACAAGUAGUCAGAGCCCGUUAAUGGGUGAUGGCGUGCCUUUUGUAGAAUGAACCGGCGAGUUACGAUCCCGUGCAAGGUUAAGCAGAAGAUGCGGAGCCGCAGCGAAAGCGAGUCUGAAUAGGGCGAAUUGAGUACGUGGUCGUAGACCCGAAACCAGGUGAUCUACCCAUGUCCAGGGUGAAGUUCAGGUAACACUGAAUGGAGGCCCGAACCCACGCACGUUGAAAAGUGCGGGGAUGAGGUGUGGGUAGGGGUGAAAUGCCAAUCGAACCUGGAGAUAGCUGGUUCUCUCCGAAAUAGCUUUAGGGCUAGCCUCAAGGUAAGAGUCUCGGAGGUAGAGCACUGAUUGGACUAGGGGCCCCUACCGGGUUACCGAAUUCAGUCAAACUCCGAAUGCCGAUGACUUAUCCUUGGGAGUCAGACUGCGAGUGAUAAGAUCCGUAGUCGAAAGGGAAACAGCCCAGACCGCCAGCUAAGGUCCCAAAGUAUACGUUAAGUGGAAAAGGAUGUGGAGUUGCUUAGACAACCAGGAUGUUGGCUUAGAAGCAGCCACCAUUUAAAGAGUGCGUAAUAGCUCACUGGUCGAGUGACUCUGCGCCGAAAAUGUACCGGGGCUAAACGUAUCACCGAAGCUGCGGACUGUUCUUCGAACAGUGGUAGGAGAGCGUUCUAAGGGCUGUGAAGCAAGACCGGAAGGACUUGUGGAGCGCUUAGAAGUGAGAAUGCCGGUAUGAGUAGCGAAAGAGGGGUGAGAAUCCCCUCCACCGAAUGCCUAAGGUUUCCUGAGGAAGGCUCGUCCGCUCAGGGUUAGUCGGGACCUAAGCCGAGGCCGAAAGGCGUAGGCGAUGGAUAACAGGUUGAUAUUCCUGUACCACCUCCUCACCAUUUGAGCAAUGGGGGGACGCAGGAGGAUAGGGUAAGCGCGGUAUUGGAUAUCCGCGUCCAAGCAGUUAGGCUGGGAAAUAGGCAAAUCCGUUUCCCGUGAAGGCUGAGCUGUGAUGGCGAGCGAAUUAUAGUAGCGAAGUUCCUGAUUCCACACUGCCAAGAAAAGCCUCUAGCGAGGUGAGAGGUGCCCGUACCGCAAACCGACACAGGUAGGCGAGGAGAGAAUCCUAAGGUGAUCGAGAGAACUCUCGUUAAGGAACUCGGCAAAAUGACCCCGUAACUUCGGGAGAAGGGGUGCUCUGUUAGGGUGCAAGCCCGAGAGAGCCGCAGUGAAUAGGCCCAGGCGACUGUUUAGCAAAAACACAGGUCUCUGCGAAGCCGUAAGGCGAAGUAUAGGGGCUGACGCCUGCCCGGUGCUGGAAGGUUAAGAGGAGCGCUUAGCGUAAGCGAAGGUGCGAAUUGAAGCCCCAGUAAACGGCGGCCGUAACUAUAACGGUCCUAAGGUAGCGAAAUUCCUUGUCGGGUAAGUUCCGACCCGCACGAAAGGCGCAACGAUCUGGGCACUGUCUCAACGAGAGACUCGGUGAAAUUAUAGUACCUGUGAAGAUGCAGGUUACCCGCGACAGGACGGAAAGACCCCGUGGAGCUUUACUGCAGCCUGAUAUUGAAUGUUGGUACAGCUUGUACAGGAUAGGUAGGAGCCUUGGAAACCGGAGCGCCAGCUUCGGUGGAGGCAUCGGUGGGAUACUACCCUGGCUGUAUUGACCUUCUAACCCGCCGCCCUUAUCGGGCGGGGAGACAGUGUCAGGUGGGCAGUUUGACUGGGGCGGUCGCCUCCUAAAAGGUAACGGAGGCGCCCAAAGGUUCCCUCAGAAUGGUUGGAAAUCAUUCGCAGAGUGUAAAGGCACAAGGGAGCUUGACUGCGAGACCUACAAGUCGAGCAGGGACGAAAGUCGGGCUUAGUGAUCCGGUGGUUCCGCAUGGAAGGGCCAUCGCUCAACGGAUAAAAGCUACCCCGGGGAUAACAGGCUUAUCUCCCCCAAGAGUCCACAUCGACGGGGAGGUUUGGCACCUCGAUGUCGGCUCAUCGCAUCCUGGGGCUGUAGUCGGUCCCAAGGGUUGGGCUGUUCGCCCAUUAAAGCGGUACGCGAGCUGGGUUCAGAACGUCGUGAGACAGUUCGGUCCCUAUCCGUCGCGGGCGCAGGAAAUUUGAGAGGAGCUGUCCUUAGUACGAGAGGACCGGGAUGGACGCACCGCUGGUGUACCAGUUGUUCUGCCAAGGGCAUCGCUGGGUAGCUAUGUGCGGACGGGAUAAGUGCUGAAAGCAUCUAAGCAUGAAGCCCCCCUCAAGAUGAGAUUUCCCAUUCCGCAAGGAAGUAAGAUCCCUGAAAGAUGAUCAGGUUGAUAGGUCUGAGGUGGAAGUGUGGCGACACAUGGAGCUGACAGAUACUAAUCGAUCGAGGACUUAACCAAUUU